UUGACCUCAAAUCAGGUGGGACUACCCGCUGAACUUAAGCAUAUCAAUAAGCGGAGGAAAAGAAACUAACAAGGAUUCCCCUAGUAACUGCGAGUGAAGCGGGAAAAGCUCAAAUUUAAAAUCUGGCGGUCUCUGGCCGUCCGAGUUGUAGUCUGGAGAAGCGUCUUCCGCGCUGGACC
rnacentral:rRNA from 1 species